rnacentral:rRNA from 1 species
AACGAACGCUGGCGGCAGGCUUAACACAUGCAAGUCGAACGAGAUCUUCGGAUCUAGUGGCAGACGGGUGAGGAACACGUGGGAACAUCCCUUUCAGUUCGGAAUAACGUUGGGAAACUAACGCUAAUACCGGAUACGUCCUUCGGGAGAAAGAUUUAUCGCUGAAAGAUUGGCCCGCGUCUGAUUAGCUAGUUGGUGAGGUGACGGCUCACCAAGGCUACGAUCAGUAGCUGAUCUGAGAGGAUGAUCAGCCACAUAGGGACUGAGACACGGCCCAAACUCCUACGGGAGGCAGCAGUGGGGAAUAUUGGACAAUGGGCGCAAGCCUGAUCCAGCCAUGCCGCGUGAGUGAUGACGGCCUUCGGGUUGUAAAGCUCUUUUGUCCGGGAAGAUAAUGACUGUACCGGAAGAAUAAGCCCCGGCAAACUUCGUGCCAGCAGCCGCCGUAA